UACGUAGGGUGCGAGCGUUGUCCGGAAUGAUUGGGCGUAAAGGGCUCGUAGGCGGUUUGUCGCGUCGGGAGUGAAAACCAGGUGCUUAACACCUGGCUUGCUUUCGAUACGGGCAGACUAGAGGUAUUCAGGGGAGAACGGAAUUCCUGGUGUAGCGGUGAAAUGCGCAGAUAUCAGGAGGAACACCGGUGGCGAAGGCGGUUCUCUGGGAAUGACCUGACGCUGAGGAGCGAAAGUGUGGGGAGCGAACAGG
rnacentral:rRNA from 1 species